GGAUGCGAUCAUACCAUGCACUAAUGCACCGGAUCAUCAGAACUCUGAAGUGAAGCUGUGCUUGGCGAGCUGUAGUACUAGGAUGGGUGACCCCCUGGCGAAGUCAUCGUGUUGCCAUUC
rnacentral:rRNA from 1 species